UCAGGAUGAACGCUGGCGGCGUGCUUAACACAUGCAAGUCGAACGAAGCACUUAUGACAGAUUCUUCGGAUGAUGGAUUAAGUGACUGAGUGGCGGACGGGUGAGUAACGCGUGGGUAACCUGCCUCAUACAGGGGGAUAACAGUUAGAAAUGACUGCUAAUACCGCAUAAGCGCACAGGACCGCAUGGUCUGGUGUGAAAAACUCCGGUGGUAUGAGAUGGACCCGCGUCUGAUUAGCUAGUUGGUGGGGUAAUGGCCUACCAAGGCGACGAUCAGUAGCCGACCUGAGAGGGUGAUCGGCCACAUUGGGACUGAGACACGGCCCAAACUCCUACGGGAGGCAGCAGUGGGGAAUAUUGCACAAUGGGGGAAACCCUGAUGCAGCGACGCCGCGUGAGGGAAGAAGGUUUUCGGAUUGUAAACCUCUGUCCUUGGUGACGAAAAUGACGGUAGCCAAGGAGGAAGCCACGGCUAACUACGUG
rnacentral:rRNA from 1 species